rnacentral:piRNA from 1 species
UGAGGCAGGUGUACAUAAUCGCACAGAC